GACGAACGCUGGCGGCGUGCCUAAUACAUGCAAGUUGAGCGCUGAAGGUUGGUACUUGUACCGACUGGAUGAGCAGCGAACGGGUGAGUAACGCGUGGGGAAUCUGCCUUUGAGCGGGGGACAACAUUUGGAAACGAAUGCUAAUACCGCAUAAAAACUUUAAACACAAGUUUUAAGUUUGAAAGAUGCAAUUGCAUCACUCAAAGAUGAUCCCGCGUUGUAUUAGCUAGUUGGUGAGGUAAAGGCUCACCAAGGCGAUGAUACAUAGCCGACCUGAGAGGGUGAUCGGCCACAUUGGAACUGAGACAAGGCCCAAACUCCUACGGGAGGCAGCAGUAGGGAAUCUUCGGCAAUGGACGAAAGUCUGACCGAGCAACGCCGCGUGAGUGAAGAAGGUUUUCGGAUCGUAAAACUCUGUUGGUAGAGAAGAACGUUGGUGAGAGUGGAAAGCUCAUCAAGUGACGGUAACUACACAGAAAGGGACGGCUAACUACGUG
rnacentral:rRNA from 1 species